ensembl:misc_RNA Metazoa_SRP Metazoan signal recognition particle RNA
GCCAGGCGUGGUGGUGCGCGCCUGUAGUCCCAGCUACUUGGGAGGCUGAGGUAGGAGAAUCACUUGAACCCAGGAGGUGGAGGUUGCAGUGAGCUGAGAUCGCACCACUGCACUCCAGCCUGGGUGACAGAGUGAGACUUUAUCUCAA